ensembl:sense_intronic Gm28112 predicted gene 28112
ACUCUUUGAGAUGGUUCUGUCCCUUUUGCUGCAACGUUGCUUUGUUGUUUAGUAUUGGGAAUAGUAUUUAUGUGCUUUAAUUAAAUCAUUGUUUCUCUAAUCUGGAAGUAAUUUAUUGCCACAUCUGCAUGAUUGGGGAAGUUGAAGAUGCAUGCUUUUUAAAUUAAAAUUCUAACCUUAAAGCUAUGAUCUCACAACAAACAAAUGUAAGGUUUACUUAUAGCCAGUACUUUUUAAGCACUAAGUUGGAUGUCAGGGGAGGAAGUCAGGCAUAAUGCAGAACUGGCGCUACUCUCAAAAGAGCUUGCAUUUCACCAAGAACCAACAGACAUGUGGGAAAAGGGAAUGGAUGGAAAGGCAGCUGCUCCGUUGCCUUCUCUGUAGCUAGAAUUUCGGAGUUACCAUGUAACAGUCAUGGGCACGAUAAGGUGCUUGGUGAGCUUCGUCCCACAGGAUAGUGCAAGAUUCUACAGAGUUUGUGGCUCAAGAGCAAUCCAUUUAAGUAGAGAUUAUAAAUCAAAAUGUUGUAAGAGCCGAUUAUUCAGUUAAAACAGUGAAGAGAGAUGGAAAGCAAGAGGCGAAGCCUGUCCAUUUUUUUGCAGCACCAAUGCUUAAGUAUCCAUCGUAUCUUUUUUUUUUUUUUUUUUUUUUUUUNNNNNNNNNNNNNNCCUGCCUCUCUUUCCCAAGUGCUGGGAUUAAAGACAUGAGUCACCACUGCUCGGCCCAUCCGUAUCUUUUAGCGUGUACUGUCGCAUUCACCGUCUACACAUAUUUCUCCUUUCCCAGUGACAGUGCUAACAGGAUUAUGUGGUGUGCAUCGACCCAUGGCUUGAUAGUUUUUAUUUGGAUUUUUUCAUAUUUGCCCUUCAUUCUUGUUCUCACAUAUCAGCUAUGUAGUGGAGGUGGACUGGCCUGUCCUUCACCGGUAGGCUUCUUUGUUAUUUAUCUGAUCUUUGCUGAUGAACAUAUAGGUUGUUUCUAGCUUUCAGAGGGUAUAUCUGUGUCUGCCCUUGUCAGUGGGUGUCCUAUGCACCAUAGGACAACAUAACUCAGUUUUUUCAGGAUGGAUGUCCUGGAAGUGACCAUUUUAGUAGAGAAAGCAUAGAAAAUUGUCUUUUAAAAAUAUUAGUGUACAUCAUCCCUAACAUUGCAUGAGAUUCUGGGAUUGGUGUUUUAUUUUGUUUUUUCACUUUGACAACAGUCUGUCUUCUCAGUUUUGGGGUAUCUAAAAGGGAGAAAAUGGUAUGUGUGUAUAUUUAAUGUUUUUGAAGUUGGCAAAAGUCUUUAAUUUUUGCCCCAGACAAACACUUCUGCUUAAUCAUUUAGGACACAUUAUACUUUAAAACACUAUUAAGAAAUAGCAAAAGAGAAAACAUUUUUGGGAGGGGUAAUCCCCCUGUGUGGACUUGAUUUCAUUUGAAAGUGUCUCAGGGCUGCUGGAGUCUGCAUCGUGACAUUUGUUGAGUUGUCUAGAAACCCACAGGCUAAGCCUAGCACACAGGAAAGCUGAACUCCAGCUUUGUCCUUUAUGGCUUCCUCAUGUGGGGAACCUUGAGUCUGGUUCGUUGUGUGACAUGUUUUUUACAUGAGCAAAUAUGCAUGGAAGUGUGUUGUAGCAUUUGGCUUUCUCUGAGACUCUCCCAAGGGGAACAAUGGUUCUCAAAUGGUUGAGAACUCUGCGUACAGGCACAAAUUUGCUCUUGAACAUGAAGAGAAUCCUGAGGUAGGGAAAUCCUGUGUGUCCUGCCCCUAUCUCAGAGUGCCAGGCUCAUGGAAUGAUUGACAAGCCCCCUUUUGCUCUGUGCCCGU